GGUUUUAUAGUUUAUAAAAAUACAAAGUUGCAAACUUUGAGAUACAUAUAAUAUACUAUGUUAAAACUU
rnacentral:tRNA from 1 species